GAUGAACGCUAGCGGCGUGCCUAAUGCAUGCAAGUCGAACGGGACCCUUUGGACUCGUCUGAAGGUGAGAGUGGCGAACGGGUGAGUAACACGUUGGUGACCUACCCCAGAGAGGGGGAUAACCAUUGGAAACGAUGGCUAAUACCCCAGAUGUCAUUACUGUUAGAGGGUAAUGACUAAAGCUCCGGCGCUCUGGGAGGGGCCUGCGGCCCAUCAGCUAGUUGGUAGGGUAAUGGCCUACCAAGGCAAAGACGGGUAGGGGGCGUGAGAGCGUGGCCCCCCACACUGGUACUGACACACGGACCAGAUACCUACGGGUAGCAGCAGCAAGGAAUAUUGCCCAAUGGACGCAAGUCUGAGGCAGCAACGCCGCGUGGAGGAUGAAGGCCUUCGGGUUGUAAACUCCUUUUCUGGGGGAAGAGAAAGGACGGUACCCCAGGAAUAAGUCUCGGCUAACUACGUG
rnacentral:rRNA from 1 species